rnacentral:rRNA from 1 species
GUACUGAGACACGGACCAGACUCCUACGGGAGGCAGCAGUGAGGAAUAUUGGUCAAUGGGCGCAAGCCUGAACCAGCCAUGCCGCGUGCAGGAUGACGGUCCUAUGGAUUGUAAACUGCUUUUGUACAGGAAGAAACACUCGGACGUGUCCGAGCUUGACGGUACUGUAAGAAUAAGGAUCGGCUAACUCCGUGCCAGCAGCCGCGGUAAU